rnacentral:rRNA from 1 species
CCUACGGGAGGCAGCAGUGGGGAAUAUUGCACAAUGGGGGAAACCCUGAUGCAGCGACGCCGCGUGAGUGAAGAAGUAUUUCGGUACGUAAAGCUCUAUCAGCAGGGAAGAAAAUGACGGUACCUGACUAAGAAGCCCCGGCUAACUACGUGCCAGCAGCCGCGGUAAUACGUAGGGGGCAAGCGUUAUCCGGAUUUACUGGGUGUAAAGGGAGCGUAGACGGCAGCGCAAGUCUGGAGUGAAAUCCCAUGGCUUAACCAUGGAACUGCUUUGGAAACUGUGCAGCUAGAGUGCAGGAGAGGUAAGCGGAAGUACUAGUGUAGCGGUGAAAUGCGUAGAUAUUAGGAGGAACACCAGUGGCGAAGGCGGCUUACUGGACUGUAACUGACGUUGAGGCUCGAAAGCGUGGGGAGCAAACAGGAUUAGAUACCCCAGUAGUC